UAAAAGCGUGUGGCAAAGCUCAGUUGUCUUGUAAUUCCAGCUUCUCCACACGCUUUUUGA
rnacentral:pre_miRNA from 1 species